rnacentral:rRNA from 1 species
GGGUUGUGAGGUUAAGCGACUAAGCGUACACGGUGGAUGCCCUGGCAGUCAGAGGCGAUGAAGGACGUGCUAAUCUGCGAAAAGCGUCGGUAAGGUGAUAUGAACCGUUAUAACCGGCGAUGUCCGAAUGGGGAAACCCAGUGYRAUUCGUYRCACUAUCGUUAACUGAAUACAUAGGUUAACGAGGCGAACCGGGGGAACUGAAACAUCUAAGUACCCCGAGGAAAAGAAAUCAACCGAGAUUCCCCCAGUAGCGGCGAGCGAACGGGGAGCAGCCCAGAGUCUGAAUCAGCUUGUGUGUUAGUGGAACGGUCUGGAAAGUCCGACGGUACAGGGUGAUAGUCCCGUACACCAAAAUGCACAGGCUGUGAACUCGAAGAGUAGGGCGGGACACGUGGUAUCCUGUCUGAAUAUGGGGGGACCAUCCUCCAAGGCUAAAUACUCCUGACUGACCGAUAGUGAACCAGUACCGUGAGGGAAAGGCGAAAAGAACCCCGGCGAGGGGAGUGAAAAAGAACCUGAAACCGUGUACGUACAAGCAGUGGGAGCACCUUCGGGUGUGACUGCGUACCUUUUGUAUAAUGGGUCAGCGACUUAUAUUC